rnacentral:rRNA from 1 species
GAUGAACGCUGGCGGCGUGCCUAAUACAUGCAAGUCGAGCGAACAGACGAGGCUCUUGCUCCUUUGACGUUUGGGGCGGACGGGUGAGUAACACGUGGGUAACCUACCUAUAAGACUGGGAUAACUUCGGGAAACCGGAGCUUAUACCGGAUAAUAUUUCGAACCGUAUUGUUCGAUAGUGAAAUAUGGCUUUGCUAUCUCUUCUAGAUGGACCUCCGCCGUAUUGGUUAGUUGGUAAGGUAACGGCUUACCAAGGCAACGAUACGUAGCCGACUGGAGAGGGUGAUCGCCGACACUGGAGGUGAGAAGGCGUCCAGACUACUAAGGGAGGCAGCAGAAGGGAAUCUUCCGCAAUGGGCGAAAGCCUGACGGAGCAAGGCGGCGUGAGUGAUGAAGGUCUUCGGAUCGUAAAACUCUGUUAUUAGGGAAGAACAGACGUGUAAGUAACUGUGCACGUCUUGACGGUAACUAAUCAGAAAGCCACGGCUAACUACGUG